GAUGAACGCUGGCGGCGUGCUUAACACAUGCAAGUCGAACGAAGCACUUUAACCUGAUUCUUCGGAUGAAGGUUUUUGUGACUGAGUGGCGGACGGGUGAGUAACGCGUGGGUAACCUGCCUCAUACAGGGGGAUAACAGUUAGAAAUGACUGCUAAUACCGCAUAAGACCACAGAGCCGCAUGGCUCGGUGGGAAAAACUCGGGUGGGAUGAGAUGGACCCGCGUCUGAUUAGGUAGUUGGUGGGGUAACGGCCUACCAAGCCAACGAUCAGUAGCCGAGCUGAGAGGGUGACCGGCCACAUUGGGGCUGAGACACGGCCCAAAAUCCUACGGGAGGCAGCAGUGGGGAAUAUUGCACAAUGGGGGAAACCCUGAUGCAGCGACGCCGGGUGAGCGAAGAAGUAUUUCGGUAAGUAAAGCUCUAUCAGAAGGGGAGAGAAUGACGGUACCUGACGAAGAAGCACCGGCUAAAUACGUG
rnacentral:rRNA from 1 species